rnacentral:lncRNA from 1 species
GUUAAUUUAGGUGAACAAAAUAUUUUGUUUGGUUUUCAGGCAAGUCAAUUCAGUUCGUUUUGAACAAAUGGAUUGUAUCUCUCAAACGGAAGGCAUGGAUUCCAUGGGCUCAAGGAGCUUUUUGCAUCAAUAUAAUUUUCCUCAUGUGUAUGAGAUUCGUUUUUGGUUUACUGUUGAAUCAACUGUGGCUUUUCCUUGGAUUCAGAUUAUAUUUUUACUCUAUCGUGUCCUCUGAUAGCGUUGUGCUCUCCACGGAUUGGAUCUGAAUCAUCUCACGUACAGGUUUUGGAUGCCUCAUGGAGAUCAGAUCGGAGGACACCAACUAUACCCAUACUCCACGAUCUUUUCCUCUUGAUUAUCUCUCUUUCCCCCAAUGUAAAAUGAAUGGAUCAAAUAGAAGACAUGGAUUCCGUGUGGUCGAGGAGCUUUAUGCAUCAAAAUAAUUUUCCUCAUCUACAUCAGGUUCGUACUUUCACACAGUCUAUUCUGAAUUUCGUUUUUGCAGGUCUAUGCUUGGAUCAACCGUUGCUUUUCCUUUUGAUUCAGAUUCAAUUUUUUCCCAUGUCCUCUCUUAGUUUGUUUCUCUUGAUGUAUUGGAUCCUUUAUCUUCUCAGGUACAAUUUUGGAUUCCACAUGGAGAUCAUGUCGGGGCACACCAACUAUACCCAUUGUUACUGCUCAAGAAUCUCCCACUAUGUACGAAGGUUGUCUCUGGUCAGUUGAUGUCAUUGUUCCAUUGGUUUGUUACUCUUUUUUUCAGAUUAAAGCAUUGGAUUUGUAGCUUCCCUUGGACUAAACAAGUACUAAUCUUCAGAAUUCUGUGUUCUUUUACCUGCUAAUCUUUUUGUACUCCUUUAACUUUGUUAUAUUCAAAUCAUACUUUCAUUAUUUCUUGCAGUAUAAGUUCAAAAUUAUGGCGUGAGACAUGGGGAUGCAAUUAAACUCAAUGGAGAAGGAAACCUGGAAAGGGAUGAACAGAGUAAUUAGUCUGUGUGAUGCCAUUAACCUUGACAACAAUGAACUUAUGGGACUUGGAAUGAUACUAGAUGAAGAGGUCAGUUUAUUGGUAAAUUUUAUGAUCUGCAAAUAGUAGAUGAUACUAUGAGUUAUAUAGUAGCUAUUAUAAAUCUAGAGGUAUCUUCUCAGUGCAUUAUAUAACACUAUAUUGGCUUAGCUGCGUGUGUAACUGUAUGAUGUUAUUAAUUCGUGCAAGUAUCAUUCAAUCCAAAAUUGGCUUGACCGCCGUUGCAGUUGGCCACCGUCGUGAUGGUGGGUUCAUAACGCUGCUACUUCUUGGGUGGAACGUCGUCGCUUCACGGCUGGUCGAAAUACAGCGCCAAUGCAAAGGCAGGUUUAGCCAGCCCUGAAGUUCUGCAUCUAUGCAUACAUGUGAUGGCUUUCUAGGGCGUCACGUACAUAUAUGGUUUCUAGAUCAGAGUCUAUUGUUUUGAUUUUUUGUUUUUCCUUUUUAUGUUUUCCCAUUGUACUGAUUUUGAGUUUAUUUGAUACGAAUUAUAUGGUUAAUUUAGGUGAACAGAAUAUUUUGUUUGGUUUUCAGGCAAGUCAAUUCAGUUCGUUUUGAGUAAGUCUUCAACACUGACUGUUUCGCAUUUUCUACUUAUAUGUGGAUUGUGUUUCUCACAUUCGGUGCUAUGUUUGAAUCUUUCAUAAUUUUGUGUUUCUUUAAGAGUUCCAACAGAUUCAUUUUUUGUUUCACGUUCUAACCGUCAAUGUGCACUUGAUUUUUGCUCUCCAGGGUUAUAAUUUGAAUUAUGUUGUUCUCCAUGUUUCCAGUUAUUUCUUUGAAGGGAGGUCAAUCGAUUGGUGAGGUCAUCAACGGCUGUCUAUGGUUGUCUCUAGGUAUCAAAAAUUAUUUCUCGGGCUAUUGUGGACACAGGUUAUUGUCUGCAACUACUCAUGUUACAGGCAAUGCUGCCAGAAAAUGUUCUAAUGUCAUGGACACUGUUCACAUGCAGCUGUAGAAUUUAUGUCUAAGGACCUUAUCCACACAAGGAUACUAUUGAACCUUCUUUGACAGUUGGAGACUGAGAUCGAGCAGAAGUAUGGCAACCAUGUCGUGUGGAAAAGGGCCCAUGAACUAGCAUGUCAUCAUGUCACCGUGUCAGACAAUACAUUGCGUAAUGCAUGAGAGGCUCAUAUUAAGCUUGGCCAUCUUCUCUUGAUUUUUUUUCAAUCAGAUUGUCGUACUAGGGAAUUUGCACUGCUUACAAGUAAGGAUCGGCCUUCACCUCACUCUAUGCAUUGUAACAUUGUUAUUUAAUUUAGGUUAAAGUUAUGAUAAAUGCAUGCCUGAUUUAGAGAUGAGAUGACUACUUUAAGUUCGGUUCAAG